rnacentral:rRNA from 1 species
UCAAGAAACUUCCACAAUGGGCGAAAGCCUGGUGGAGCGACGUCGCGUGAUGGACGAAGUGCUUCGGCACGUAAACAUCUUUUAUGUGGGAUGAAAUUAUUGACAGUACCACAUGAAUAAGGGGCUCCUAACUCUGUGCCAGCAGGAGCGGUAAUACAGAGGCCCCAAGCGUUAUCCGGAAUCACUGGGCGUAAAGGGUGUCGAGGCGGUUGUAUUAGUCGUUCGUAAAAUCUACGAGCUUAACUUGUAGGCGGCGAACGAAACGGUACGACUUGAGGUUUGGAGAGGUGCGUGGAACUCACGGUGUAGGGGUGAAAUCCGUUGAUAUCGUGGGGAACACCAAAGGCGAAGGCAGCGCACUGGCCAAAAUCUGACGCUCACACACGAAAGCUAGGGUAGCGAAGAGGAUUAGAUACCCCCGUAGUCCCUGAGCGGGCUGGCAAGGCGCAU